CGAAAGGUGAAGUAUAUGGGCUGACGCCUGCCCGGUGCUGGAAGGUUAAGGGGAGAGGUUAGCGGUAACGCGAAGCUUUGAACUUAAGCCCCAGUAAACGGCGGCCGUAACUAUAACGGUCCUAAGGUAGCGAAAUUCCUUGUCGGGUAAGUUCCGACCCGCACGAAAGGCGUAAUGAUUUGGGCACUGUCUCGACAAUGCACCCGGUGAAAUUGAAAUACCAGUGAAGAUGCUGGUUACCUGCGCCAGGACGGAAAGACCCCAUGGAGCUUUACUCCAGCUUGAUACUGGGAUUCGGUAUUGCAUGUACAGGAUAGGUGGGAGAC
rnacentral:rRNA from 1 species